rnacentral:rRNA from 1 species
AAAUGACUCUCGGCAACGGAUAUCUAGGCUCUUGCAUCGAUGAAGAACGUAGCGAAAUGCGAUACUUGGUGUGAAUUGCAGAAUCCCGUGAACCAUCGAGUCUUUGAACGCAAGUUGCGCCCGAAGCCAUUAGGUUGAGGGCACGCCUGCCUGGGUGUCACAC